rnacentral:rRNA from 1 species
AAGCCAUGCAUGUCUAAGUAUAAGCAAUUAUACCGUGAAACUGCGAAGGGCUCAUUAAAUCAGUUAUCGUUUAUUUGAUAGUACCUUACUACUUGGAUAACCGUGGUAAUUCUAGAGCUAAUACAUGCUGAAAACCCCGACUUCGGAAGGGGUGUAUUUAUUAGAUAAAAAACCAAUGCCCUUCGGGGCUCCUUGGUGAUUCAUAAUAACUUCUCAGAUCGCAUGGCCUUGCGCCGGCGACGGUUCAUUCAAAUUUCUGCCCUAUCAACUUUCGAUGGUAAGGUAUUGGCUUACCAUGGUUUCAACGGGUAACGGGGAAUUAGGGUUCGAUUCCGGAGAGGGAGCCUGAGAAACGGCUACCACAUCCAAGGAAGGCAGCAGGCGCGCAAAUUACCCAAUCCCGACACGGGGAGGUAGUGACAAUAAAUACUGAUACAGGGCUCUUUUGGGUCUUGUAAUUGGAAUGAGUACAAUUUAAACCUCUUAACGAGGAACAAUUGGAGGGCAAGUCUGGUGCCAGCAGCCGCGGUAAUUCCAGCUCCAAUAGCGUAUAUUAAAGUUGUUGCAGUUAAAAAGCUCGUAGUUGAACCUUUGGCCUGGCUGGCAGGUCCGCCUCACCGCGUGCACUUGUCCGGCCGGGCCUUCUCUUCUGGAGAACCGCAUGCCCUUCACUGGGUGUGUUGGGGACCAGGACUUUUACUUUGAAAAAAUUAGAGUGUUCAAAGCAGGCCUUUGCUCGAAUACGUUAGCAUGGAAUAAUAGAAUAGGACGUGCGGUCCUAUUUUGUUGGUUUCUAGGACCGCCGUAAUGAUUAAUAGGGACAGUCGGGGGCAUCAGUAUUCAAUUGUCAGAGGUGAAAUUCUUGGAUUUAUUGAAGACUAACUACUGCGAAAGCAUUUGCCAAGGAUGUUUUCAUUAAUCAGUGAACGAAAGUUAGGGGAUCGAAGACGAUCAGAUACCGUCGUAGUCUUAACCAUAAACUAUGCCGACUAGGGAUCGGGCGGUGUUAUUAUUUUGACUCGCUCGGCACCUUACGAGAAAUCAAAGUGUUUGGGCUCUGGGGGGAGUAUGGUCG